CCUCGGCUUUUCAUUGUUGCAAGCAUAUUCUAAUAACUGCACUAACCGCACUAUUCAUCGCUUUGUAUUCUAAAUUUUCCACUUUAAAUUUGUUCCUUUGGCUGCUUUCAAUGCCAAUUCAGUAAUUUGAUUAACCUUUUGUCCCCAUUUAGAAUUCAACUUAGCAAAAAAGUGCUCUUUUUUGUUGUUGACGAUUUGUAUAUGAUUCUUCUCUGUUAUUUGUGAUUAAAUAUUAUUAGGUUUUGUGCCAUCUUUAGGGGUUCCCUUCUGAUGGACGACGGGGAGCUUGAUUUCUCGAACCAGGAAGUGUUCUCAAGUCCAAACAUGGCUGAACUUCCAAGCAGUGGAUCAAUGGAUAGCUUCUUUGAGGAACUCCUCAAGGACAGCCAUGCUUGCACGCAUACCCACACCUGUAACCCCCCUGGUCCUGAUCAUUCCCAUACUCAUACCUGCUACCAUGUUCAUACCAAGAUUGUGCCUGCGCCGUCUGAGGAGCAAGUUGGAACUGACGACACUGCUGAGUCUGCUGAAAAGAAGUCAAAGAAGCGCCCAUUGGGUAAUCGGGAAGCCGUACGCAAGUACCGCGAGAAGAAGAAGGCUCGGGCUGCUUCUUUGGAGGAUGAGGUUGUCAAAUUGAGAGCUUUGAACCAGCACUUGAUGAGGAAGUUGCAAAGCCAGGCUGCUUUGGAGGCAGAAAUAUCGAGGUUGAAGUGCUUGCUAGUUGACAUUAGGGGCAGGAUUGAAGGAGAAAUUGGAACAUUCCCAUAUCAGAAGCCAGCGGCUCCUGCUGUGAACCCGCCAGCACAGAACUUACCUGGCUCGUAUGUGAUGAACCCUUGUAACUUGCAGUGUGAUGAUCGGGUCUAUUGCCUUCACCCGGGAGCAGAUGGAAAGAUUGCCGAAGGUGCAUCACUAACUACUGAAGGAUUUAAUGGUUGUGAAUUUGAGAAUCUUCAGUGCCUAGCAAGCCAGAAUCUGGCCCUUAAGGAUCUACCUUCUUGUGGAGUUGGACAAACAGUGUCUAAUGUGAAUUCUUCUGCAUCAAACAAAAGAAAAGGGGGUUCUCGUGCAAUGACAGCUGGCUGAAGAAUAAAAUGGUACUUUUUGUUGUAGCCAUGUUAAUAUCUACUUCCAAUAACUCAUUACCAAUCGCAACAUCAGCCAUCCAGAAGGUCAUCUUUUAAAGUAAUUUUCUCUGUUUGGCCCUCUGCUUGUGUAAUGGGUUGGGAUGGCUGUUCUAGUAUUGGAAGAUGAGUCCUAGCUCAAUGUUCUGUUAGCAGAAUUAGCAGUUGAUCUGUAGCUGGUAUAGCUUAUGCAAUUCAAUUUGCGAUCUUUUGAUUAUCUUUGAACUAGUUAAACUGCUAUCAUAAAUGUUUCUCUACUGGUUCAUUCUUGAAUCAUGUAAGUAUUUGUGUUGUUGUUUGCACUGUUUAAUGAUCCAAUAUUUAAGCAGAAAUUCAUGAUUUCUAAGUACAAUAAGUUUGUUAUUGCUGGAUUACAGAACUUGGGGAGAUGGGGUUGUGUUUCAUCUUCUAGUACUCUGGAUGUGUACAGCAUUUUGCUGGACAAAUGUUGACAAUGUGACUGAAGAUGUCAUAUAUGGGCUCUCCUCUUCCCCGAAUCAAGCCGGACUUGUGAUUUGCUUUGUGUUUGAUAUAAGUGGCUGUUAGCUUUGCUAAUUGACACUGGCAACACUAGUGAGACAUAUGUACAUAGGUGGAGUUGACUUAAUGAGAAGUUUUAUCACAGGGAUCAUCAUGCAUCAUUCUCAUCAA